UUUAAUAAAACAAUCACAGUUUUUUUUAAAGAAAAAUCAUUUUUUUUCAAAAAAAAAUAUUUUUUUAUAUUUUCGAAAAAAAUAAUUUAAAAAUCAUUUUUUUUUAUUUUCGAAAAAAAUAGUUUUUUUAUAUUCGUAGAAAGAAAAAUUCGAAAAUUAAAUCAAAUUUUGGUAUUUUUCAAAAAAUAUGAUUUUUAAAUUUUUGGAAAAAAUUGAUUUUUUGUAUUUUCAAAAAAAAAUGUUUUU
rnacentral:lncRNA from 1 species